rnacentral:misc_RNA from 1 species
GAAAUGCGAUAAGUAAUGUGAAUUGCAGAAUUCAGUGAAUCAUCGAAUCUUUGAACGCACCUUGCGCUCCUUGGUAUUCCUUGGAGCAUGCCUGUUUGAGUAUCAUGAAAUCUUCAAAGUAAAUCUUUUGUUAACUCAAUUGGCUUCUACUUUGGUAUUGGAGGUCUUUGCAGCUUCACACCUGCUCCUCUUUGUUCAUUAGCUGGAUCUCAGUGUUAUGCUUGGUUCCACUCGGCGUGAUAAGUUAUCUAUUGCUGAGGACACUGUAAAAGGUGGCCAAGGUAAAUGCAGAUGAACCGCUUCUAAUAGUCCAUUGACUUGGACAAUACUUUUAUGAUCUGAUCUCAAAUCAGGUAGGACUACCCGCUGAACUUAAGC